rnacentral:rRNA from 1 species
UACGGAGGGGGCUAGCGUUGUUCGGAAUUACUGGGCGUAAAGGGCGCGUAGGCGGCGCGAUAAGUUGGGCGUGAAAGGCCCGGGCUCAACCCGGGGACUGCGCUUGAUACUGUCGCGCUGUGAGUCCGGGAGAGGAUGGCGGAAUUCCCAGUGUAGAGGUGAAAUUCGUAGAUAUUGGGAAGAACACCGGUGGCGAAGGCGGCGACCUGGUCCGAUACUGACGCUGAGGCGCGAAAGCGUGGGGAGCAAACAGG